GAGUUUGAUCCUGGCUCAGAGCGAACGCUGGCGGCAGGCCUAACACAUGCAAGUCGAACGAACUCUUCGGAGUUAGUGGCGGACGGGUGAGUAACACGUGGGAACGUGCCUUUUGGUUCGGAAUAACUCAGGGAAACUUGUGCUAAUACCGAAUGUGCCCUUCGGGGAAAGAUUUAUCGCCAUUAGAGCGGCCCGCGUCUGAUUAGCUAGUUGGUGAGGUAAAGGCUCACCAAGGCGACGAUCAGUAGCUGGUCUGAGAGGAUGAUCAGCCACAUUGGGACUGAGACACGGCCCAAACUCCUACGGGAGGCAGCAGUGGGGAAUCUUGCGCAAUGGGCGAAAGCCUGACGCAGCCAUGCCGCGUGAAUGAUGAAGGUCUUAGGAUUGUAAAAUUCUUUCACCGGGGACGAUAAUGACGGUACCCGGAGAAGAAGCCCCGGCUAACUUCGUGCCAGCCGCCG
rnacentral:rRNA from 1 species